UCGAGGAAAACAACGCAGGUAACACUGCAGCGGCUUUAAUGGCGGGUAUUGCUCCCAAAACUAAGGUCAUAAGGGAUGGGAAAUGGGAUGAACAAGGCGCGACUAUUUUAGUACCCGACGAUGUGAUUAGUGUCAAAUUGGGAGAUAUUAUUCCAGCCGAUGCGCGCGCCUUCUUGAAGCAGAUCCACAUAAGAUUGAUCAAUUAAAUAUUUAAAUAACAAUUAUUAAACGAUUUCAUCGAGACACUCGACGUCGGUGAAACAACCACUGCCAAUUCGAAAGGUCGCAGCUUUAUCUAAUUCGUUAACGAAAACCCGGGCGAUGAUUUUCGUUUGCGACUAGGGCUCCAACAGGUAUGUCAUGAAGAAGAUUAGAUUGAGCAAGCAAACAGAGAUGUUUAAGAAGACAUCACAUCAAGAGGAUCAUGUGCGGUCGCUGCAAAAACCGAGUGCUUAUGUUCAGAUUGUGAUAAUUGAGGAAGUCUUUUCCUUUGCUUCUCUGCCAGUUGUUGGAAGCACAGGGUUUUUUAUCAAGUGAAAACAAAAUGUGAAUUUCUACACACAAUUUGACAUUUCAGGUUGGGUUAGGGUUCGAGAUCAAAAGUCUAGGCUUGAAUCGGAACCAAAGCAACUGAGGAUAGCAACCUCAAAUCUCAACAGUACAACAAAAUACAAAGUGAGGUCUAAAUUUUGAUUUGUUAUAUUCGAUUUUGUUGUCUCCUCAUUAGUUUGCAUACAAAGAUGGGGCUACGAAUCCAGUCAUGGUGAAUUCUCGGGUCACAUGACAGGUCAAAAUUAUCUCAGAAAGUGGCUGCCAACCAGGGUCUAAGCUGCUCUUAAAUGAGUCAAAAUUGUCUAACAAAGGGGCUGCCUAUCAGGAACAGAAGUAAAAGGCUACUAAUCAUAUAGCAAAACCGAUGAUGGAGAAAUUUCGGUUUGGUCUUUUGCGCACUUUAUUUCCUCCAGUUGGAUGGCAUGAUAUAAUUCAAGUCGAACAUAUUUCGUUAGGUGAUGAUUGUUUAUUCAAUUGGUCAAAAACGAAUUCGAGGUUAUUGGUUACGAGGCUUCAACAAGCAGAAGUAUUACAGUAAUAGGCUUUCAAUUUAUAUUUCAAAACAGAAAAACGUAUUUCCUUCGUUUACUUAUCUUUUUUGGUUAUUUUAUAUCUAUUGUACA